GAAAAACCGGGUUCAGUUCGGUUCGGCUCAGUGAAGCUCUCUCGCGGGCUUCCUCCUCCGGCUGCGACCAGGCGAUCACUACACCUCCAUGUUCGCUCGCGCCCGACCUCCACUGGGAUACCACGCCCAUCCGUGGUCUCUUCUCCACGAUUGGCUUAAAUUUCAAAGGCUUGACCUCACAGUGACCAAUGAGAAGGCGGACAUGAAACAUUUAAACUUCACAUCCGCCCACUCUUUGUCCUCAGUGGCGCCAUAUUUCACUGAUAGCGUCAAGUUUGAUUUCCACCCGAAACAACAAAGACAGCAACAAGUAUUACAGGAGCUGUGAGGAAACGUACAAGCAGGGAAAGCUUUCCAUUGGCUCAGACAAACCAAAUAAACAUCAAACUUUGUUUCCAUGGCUGAAUAAAGUAAGAAUGUCGACCUUCUUGUAAUUUCAGCUGUACAUAUAUACACACAGCAGAACAUAUACAGAGCAAACUGUUCAUAUGUGGCGGACCCUGCCACCUUUCUAACUUCAGACAGUUUGUCUGGACCUUUUUGUCCUCUGAGAGCAGUUGGUUGAUUCACUGAUGGAGACAGUUUGUGUACAUUCAUUUUGUAAAUAAGUUUGAAUUUGAAUUUCUUCUUUAAAACUCUUUAAAUGUCUUCAUGAUAUCUUUUAAUCUAAAAUAAGUGUCUUUAUUCAAACAAACCCACAUUAUCACUGCACUGUGAUACCGGUUUUUCAUACAAUUCAAAUCAAUAAAAUAACAAUAAUGGCAUUAUCAAUAAGAGACUGUUCAAAAACAAAGUUACACUGAACUUCACAGUAAAACAAGGAAUGAAGUUAAUAAAAUCACAAUCUAUCUACCA